rnacentral:lncRNA from 1 species
GCCUGGAACACAAUGAUUGAGGAAAUGUGUGGUACAAGUCAGAAAGGGAAGCAGGGGUCAGAUCACAUGGGGCCAUAUAGAGUGGGGAAGGGAGUUUGGACUUUAUUCUAAAUCCAAUGGGAACCUGCUAAAGAAUUUUAAGAAGAAGAACAACGUCACAGUGGAAUCAGAAUUCGAAUCUCCUCUGCUGGCCUCCAUACUUCCAGCUGCACUCCAUGCCUCCAAGCCCAGAACUAGAGAAGUAGCAGAAGGAAUAGGAAGGAGGGCACAGAUAUGAGGAUGCUCCCAAAGAACAGAAUUUGGUGAGUAAUUAGGUGGCAUGGGUGGGGAAGAGGAGAGGACAGGAGGAAUCAAAGACAACUGAAGCCUCAGCCUGAGCACUGAGGAGAUGGUAAUAAUGUGUUUACCUGGGAUACACAAGACAGAAGAAGCAGAGUUUGGGGAACAGGUGAUGCAUUUGAAUUUGGAUGUGUUGAAUUAGAAUUGAUGUUUAGCAAGCAGCGUAAACUUGGCUGUAGGUGAGCAGCAAUUGUCUCACACUUAGAGUUAGAGGGUCAUCAGUGACCUCCUUGGGAGCAGGGACCUCUGCAAAGCAUGUGGCGGGUGGGAGUAGGACCACAGCGGGCCAGGAAAGAAUGCAGAUGUGCUGGCAGAAGCACAAAUGCACGCUCUUCCCUUGAGAAAUUAUCAUUGAAAAGAAGGAAGGGCUAGGAUAGAAGCAGGACGGGAGAUGCACAGUUGGAAGAAAGCUUUUCUUUCUAGAAUGAAGGGUGUCGGUCUGUUUGUGAGCAGAGAGAACAGUGCUGUGGAGAAGAAGCUAGGCUACAACAAAGAAGGACGGUUUUCCUCUGGGACAGGAGGGAAGGAAAGGAGGCCAGAGUGAAAGGAGAGAGAAAACGUGAAAAUUGCAUUUCUUGAUAUACUUGGGCAGGUUUCUGAGAGGUAAGAUGAUAGAUGCAAUAGAAGUGCAAGGGUGUGCUAUUGCUGGAGGAGAGUGGGAAAGGUUUGGAACAGGAUACAUAAAGGAUCAUCAGGUGAGGCGAAACAGCGCGGACCUGAGCGGGCACUGGCGCGUGUGGAGCACAGCUUUGUCAGCAAUGUGGCGGCCGAGGAGCAAAGCACGGGGAAUGCAACGCUGCCUGGACCCUGACUUGGGAAUCGAGGCUCAGGGGGUCUAGGGUGAUAGGAAGACCUUAGCUAAAAAGAGGACUGUGGGCCCCAGACAGCGCUGGCAGCCAGUGGAGCCAGGCAGCCGAGGACACUUCCUUGAGGGGAGAAACUGCACCUAAUGCCUCAUGAUAUCUCCCAGCUCCUGGCACAUAGUCACUUCUCCUUAAAUAUUUCAUCACAAAUGAGAGAGCUGAGUAUAAGAUAUAAAACCUCAAGAAAGUGUCUACUGCAUAAUACAGACAGACUCAGGGGAACAGAGCUCGCUUCAGGCCGAGGCAGUCCGGGCAGUUGAGAGAAUCCUAUGCAGUGUAACUUCCUCAUGGUUUCUUUCCCCCACUGGUGUUUUGCCUUUCUGCCCUUUCUUUUAUGACUU